UGCUUUGUGGGCAUCCAGGCACAAAGAAGUAUAUAGCAGAGAGUCUCAAAGAUCUGCUGUGCAUGCCAGGAGGCAAGGCACCCCACACGAGAAAGAAAACACAACUUCCCACUGGCCACCUGAGCUCCGCCUCCCCACCUUGUCAAAGAAGAAAGCUGCAACCAGAUUAUGAGACUGAAAUGAUGCUCACUGCACCAAGAAGGCAUCCUGGAUCCUGAGCUGAGGAGCAAAUGCAAA